GUGUGAGUGAGUGCAGUGCUUACCGGUGAAUAACGGGUGAAUAUAGUGACAGAGAUUUCAGAAGCGCCAUGUAUUCUAUGGUCCAUUCAAUAAUGUUUUGAAUGCGGAAUCAAAGCUCAUCAACUGGAUCAAAUGAUUGGCAGGGGAACAAUCGACCUUUGAGACCAAGUACAAAAAAAGAUGGGUGAGCGUGUGCCAGAUUUGGAGCUGAUUUGCCUCUUCGACUGCUGACGGAGCCUCAGUUAGGCAGCGUGAUCUCAUGUCAUCUGGGCAAGAGUUGAGGAAUUCUAAGAGUUAGGAUUCGCAGCGUACAGAGGAGAGGCGUAAGCCCCGGGGCAGCGGAUAUUGCACGCAGAGGAAAAAAAAUGACGAUGAACCAAGAUAAUGACAACUAGUUUUUCGAGUAACGGUACCUCAUCCUUUACCACUUAUAUUCGCGCCAUUUUCGUGACUAAUCACAGGGUUUAUCCUCACUAACCCCCCACCCAGCCCCGCCUCCCCUCUCUCUCUAUAUAUCUCUCUCUAAAUAAUAUUGACGCAUUAUAUACACCUGGACAAAUGUGCUGUCUCUUUAAUUAUUCAUGUAAUAUCCAUCGUCCAUUAAUAUCAAAUUACAUAAAAAAACUUCAGAAUUAUAAACAGAAAUAAAAAAAAUUUAGCCAAUUUCAGAGUUCUCAUGUGCAAAGAAAUGAUAAAAAGAAAGUUGAAUGCCACGGGAGAAAAAACCUCGUAUAAUACAGUUUGCAAGGGAGUGUUAGAGACUCCCACUCCAGAACGAUAAUUACAUUCUCCCAUUCCAAAGAUGGAAUAGUCAGCGUGCAAGUAAGGCUUCGCAAUAUCACAGCGAAAUACGUGUGUAAGCCACGCGAAUGCGCGCGAACAAUGAAGGAAUAACGCGUGAUCUAUAUAGAGCCAAUGUUCUAAUACUUUUGAGAUUUUUUUUUGUUCCUUUUUAAAUCCCGCCGGCUAUUAGCGCACCCCCAAAAAGUCACCGUCGAGCAUGUGCGCGCGUCACAGCCAACGAUGUUCCCCUAAAACUCGCUCUACGUAUAUGGCGGAACAAUCAAAUUUCAUGCGAGUGAAAAUAUUAAAAGCCAUGCCCGUUAAACCAAAAUUAAUUAUACAAGGUGGCGAAAUACAUCCAUCAUAUGUGCCAAAACCCGAUAUUUUUCGGGAAUGCGGAAAAAAAAAAAGAGGCCAGUAGGAAUGGCAACUAAAUCUGAUGCGGCCAACCCCCUCCCCCCAUAUAUAUGAAAAAAAGAAAAAGGUUUGCGUGCGUGUGUAGCGUGACGGAGAGGCUGUUGUAAAGGGUGGUAAGUAAGAGGAUGGGGGCGUGGCCUGAGUCACGCCUGAAUUGGCCCACAGGUGGCAGCACUGCCCGCAUAACGGGUCGGGCCUCUCCUUUGCACAACGCUCACCAGCAGACCGGAUGCGCCACUGGAGAGAUGGGUGAUUCCGUGUUUAUUUUUCCUGGCCCCCUCCUACCUCCCUCCCCUUCAUGACAGGAUUUUCGCGUUAUUAAUCCUUAGAUGAGGAGGCUACACGACCGUUAAAACUGAGGGAGAGAGAGAGAGUUGGUCUCCUUUGUCCACAAAAGCAAAAAGUCCCACUGCUUGGGGCUUCCUUUAAUGUGCUUCCGAAUAAAGAAAUUAACUCACGUGUGUGUGGCUUGUUGCAUGGAGCAGCGUCAUGAGCUCGCAUUCUUCCCUCCAUCUCCAUGGAAGUUCGACAGACGAGGGCUGCCAAGACUUACUACGUUUUGCGGUUAGAAGCUUGUUAUGCAUAUUCAAAACCUUGAUAUCGCUAUAUAAUAUUGAGUUGUAGUAUGUAAUUACUCUCAUAGUUAAAUAAGAUACGUAGGAUUACGAAUAGGAAACGAAAUAAUAACCGGUAACUCUGUCAAAAACUCAUUUUAAAACCAAGCCUUUCAUAGGUAGUGAACCAGAACUGAACAAUACUUUCCAAUUUUAACUCUUGAAAUGAUAACAUUUCGGAAGAUGUGACAAUCUUCUCAU